rnacentral:rRNA from 1 species
GACGAACGCUGGCGGCGUGCUUAAUACAUGCAAGUCGAACGAAGUGGGGAUGGGUGAGUAACACGCGGGUAACCUCCCAUCAGAGGGGAUAACACUUGGAAACAGGCGCUAAACCGCUACCGAUGGAUGAACUCGCGGUGCAUUAGCUUGUUGGUGAGGGAACGGCUCACCAAGGCCACGAUGCAUAGCCGACCUGAGAGGGGGGUCAGCCACACUGGGACUGAGAUACGGCCCAGACUCCUACGCGAGGCGACAGUAGGGAAUCGUCGGCAAUGGACGAAAGUCUGACCGAGCAACGCCGCGUGAGUGAAGAGGGUUUUCGGAUCGUAAUACUCUGUUGUUAGAAAAGCGGUAUCUAACCAGAAAGCCACGGCUAACUACGUGCCAGCAGCCGCGGUAAUAC